GGAGGGUAUAGCUCAGUGGUAGAGCGCUUGCUUAGCAUGCAAGAGGUCCUGGGUUCAAUCCCCAGCACCUCUA
rnacentral:tRNA from 1 species